GAUGAAGAACGCAGCGAAAUGCGAUAAGUAAUGUGAAUUGCAGAAUUCAGUGAAUCAUCGAAUCUUUGAACGCACAUUGCGCCCGCCAGUAUUCUGGCGGGCAUGCCUGUUCGAGCGUCAUUACAACCCUCAGGCCCCCGGGCCUGGCGUUGGGGAUCGGCGGAAGCCCCCUGCGGGCACAACGCCGUCCCCCAAAUACAGUGGCGGUCCCGCCGCAGCUUCCAUUGCGUAGUAGCUAACACCUCGCAACGGGAGAGCGGCGCGGCCACGCCGUAAAACACCCAACUUCUGAAUGUUGACCUCGAAUCAGGUAGGAAUACCCGCUGAACUUAAGCAUAUCAAUAAGCGGAGGA
rnacentral:misc_RNA from 1 species